rnacentral:lncRNA from 1 species
GCUUUUCCUGACAGCGAGACAGCACCUGGCAGUACCCCCAUACUACUUCAAAGAAGAUGAUGAACAUCAAAGCGUAUCCAUGUGGAAUUUGCUUCAAAUGUGGGAAAGCUAGCCACUGGGCAGAAAACUGCCCUUGCCUAGACUGCUGGCAGCAUGAUGUCCAAACCAUGGGCAAGCAGGACAUGGAUGAAAUCAACUGCCAAACUUUGCCAAGACAGAUUACCAUGGAUUAAAGCUGGACAACUGAAACAACAGAAAGCCCAUGGAAACUAAACAACUCUCUACUCAAUGAUCACCAGACAGGAACCUAGCAUCACUGUCAUCUGAGAGGCUCUACCCAGAAGCCAAUGGAAAAAGAUGCAAAGACUCAUACCCAAACAUUAGGUGGAGCUCAGGGAGUCAUAUGGAAGAGUUGAGAGAAGGGUUGAGGAAUCCGAAGAGAAAAGGAAUACUACAGGAAGACCAACAGAGUCAACUAACAUGGACCCUUGGAAGCUCCCAGAGAACAAAUCACCAACCAAAGAAUAUACACAGGAUGGAUGUAGGCCCUCUGCACAUAUGUAAAAGCUUCUUUAACCUUCCUGUGUAGACUGCAGACCAGAAGUUCACCAAGAAUCAUCAAGACCUUCAGCAGCAUAUUGAAAUUGCUACAAUAUCCUGCUUCUUGGACUAAGCCACUGUUGAGUUCUCAGUUUCUUUAACAUGCAGACAGCCAUUGUUAGACUACUCAACUCCUGAUAUGAAAUGUAUUCCAGUACACACACACAUACACACACGAACAUUCUAUCUGUUCCGC